GAGGACUAUUCGUGGCUUUGGUUCAUAAGAAUGGCGGCCAGCGUUCGGUUCCAUUUGCAUGAAGGGAAAGUGGCACCCAGGGCAAGCUACUAAUGGUGCUGGGCAGGGUAACUCCCAAACAGUGUCUUAGACCUGGACCAUUGUUGGAGGGUAGGAGGCCGGCUUCCACACUCCUCCAGAAGUCUGUGGCAAACAUACAUGGGAAGGACGUUUGUCAUACUAUCUCACUAAAUU